rnacentral:piRNA from 1 species
UAUUGACGAUCAGGGAAAUACUGUUUUC